rnacentral:rRNA from 1 species
GCUGAGAGCAUAGCCCCCCCACUCAUAUGAAACCUAUAAGCCUAGGCCCAUUAAACAAAACAUUUUCUUACUCUAGUAAAGGCGAUUGAAAAACUAACCGGAGCUAUAACAAUAAUACCGCAAGGGAAAAGUGAAAUAAUAAUGAAACAAACCUUAAGCAUAGUAAAACAGAGAUCCCCUCUCGUACCUUUUGCAUCAUGGUUUAACUAGUCCAACCAGGCAAAAAGAAUUUUAGUCAGACACCCCGAAACUAGAUGAGCUACUUCGAGGCAGCUUAAUGAGCACACCCAUCUCUGUUGCAAAAGCGUGGGAUGACCUCCAAGUAGCGGUGACAAGCCUAACGAAUCUAGUGAUAGCUGGUUACUUAAGAAAAGAAUUUUAGUUCUACCUAAAGCUUUUACCCAAAAAUUUAUUAAAAUUAUUUUAUGCUUUAGCGCUAUUCAAACGAGGUACAGCCCGCUUGAAGCAAGGAUACAACCUACACUAAUGGGUAAUUAAUUAACCUGUAUAAACAAGUGGGCCUAAGAGCAGCCACCUUUAAAAUAGCGUCAAAGCUUACUUAACUACAAACUUAAUACUAACCUCCUCCAUCAACCCUUUAUUUCUAUUAAGUUACUCUAUAUUGCUAUAGAAACAAUAAUGUUAAAACUAGUAAUAAGAAGGUGACCUUCUCUUAAAUGUAAGUGUAAAUCAGAAAGGACAAACCACUGAUACUUAAACGCCGUGAACCACAAACAACAACCCCGCGAGAAAAACUUGUUCCCCCCAGCGUUAACCUAACACCAGAACAUUACAAGAAAGAUUUAAAGAAAAAGAAGGAACUCGGCAAAUACCAACCCCGCCUGUUUACCAAAAACAUCGCCUCUCGCCACGAUAUGAGAGGUCCAGCCUGCCCAGUGAAUAUAUUCAACGGCCGCGGUAUCCUAACCGUGCAAAGGUAGCGUAAUCACUUGUUCUUUAAAUGAGGACUAGUAUGAACGGCAUCACGAGGGUUUUACUGUCUCCUUUUUCUAAUCAAUGAAACUGAUCUUCCCGUGAAGAAGCGAGAAUAAACUUAUAAGACGAGAAGACCCUAUGGAGCUUCAAACUAUGUAGCACUGGCUUAUCCUUAUUUCCCUUUCAGAACUCUAAUAAUUAACCCAGCCCUAUGACUACUAGUUUUGGGUUGGGGUGACCACGGAGUAAAAAUAAACCUCCAUGUUGUACGGACUUUCUCCUGAGCUAAAAGUCACAACUUUAUGCACCAACAAACUGACAUCUAUUGACCCAAUAUUUUUGAACAACGAACCAAGUUACCCUAGGGAUAACAGCGCAAUCCAUUUCAAGAGCCCCUAUCGACAAAUGGGUUUACGACCUCGAUGUUGGAUCAGGGUAUCCUAGUGGUGCAGCCUCUACUAAUGGUUCGUUUGUUCAACGAUUAAAACCCU